rnacentral:rRNA from 1 species
UACGUAGGGUGCGAGCGUUGUCCGGAAUUAUUGGGCGUAAAGAGCUUGUAGGCGGUUUGUCGCGUCUGCUGUGAAAAUCCGGGGCUCAACCCCGGACUUGCAGUGGGUACGGGCAGACUAGAGUGUGGUAGGGGAGACUGGAAUUCCUGGUGUAGCGGUGAAAUGCGCAGAUAUCAGGAGGAACACCGAUGGCGAAGGCAGGUCACUGGGCCGCAACUGACGCUGAGGAGCGAAAGCUAGGGAGCAAACGGG